GUGGUUGGGGCAAAUCUUUUGAACGGUCAUCCAGCUUGGAAUUCCAAGUCGGAAAACUCGGGCAUCUUUCUAGAUCUCCGACUUUUCGACCUGGAGAUCACUGACGUCGUGAUUAGUGGGACAACAUUCGACAGGCCACAAUCAACAGCUUGAUUAACUUUAUGCGAAAGAGUAAAGUGGAGCUGAGAACCAGUACUGAGGUAAAGGCUCAGUGUGAUCAGAAUGUGUCCCUGCAGUGUGACAUCAUGUCACCGAGCCCACUCAAGAUCAUUCUCUUUUCCUGGGUAAGGAAAGGGAAACAGCUGUGUGUGGUCAAUGCCACUGGUGUAUUCUCCUUUCCUGGCGUCCGGUGUGACAACACAAACAACACCCUCACACUCAAUCUGACUCGGGUGAUGCCGUCCAGUCAGGGUAACUACACCUGCAAACUGCGCUCCAACCUAACGAUCACAGCUGCCAACACCACUGUGACAAUGCAAGAGUGCCUAAGGACAUCUGAGCACAAAGUGUUCCAGAAUGAGUCUCAGGUUGAGUGCCAGUUAUUUGGAGUUUACCCAGAAGGCACAGUACACUGGUUCCUGGGCUCUGAGAAUAUAACAGAGUCCGCCAGCACAAAGAGCCAGCUGGAUGAAGAGGGGCUGUUUGAUAUAAGGAGUACCCUGCCUACCCAGGCUGGGACUGAGCCUUACAACUGCUCCUUGUGGAUACCUAGUAGUGGAACCUACAGCUCUCACAAACAGCUGCACUACUCCAGGGGGCUCUCUUCAGGGACAAAGACUAGGAGCAGACUGCUGUUGUUCUUCAUCCUGGUUGGACUCAUAAUCAUAAUUUAGGACUACUCAUGGGAAGGUCAGGAGUUUUUUUACUGAAUAUGGGACUUCGAACUACAGUAGGGCAAAGGGCUUUUCUGGUCAGGGCACAUCUACACAGGAUGGAUCAGGGCCUUUCUCUUACUGAGUGAAGAGAAAGCAAACCUGGACUGCCAUGGCCAAAGUAGAUAUAUGUUUUCACUUAUUAUACUGGGAAGCAAAAUAUCAAAGAAAUUGCAAUAAAUACAAUUGAAUUUUAAAGCUGAAAAUCAUUGUACAUUGGGAUUUGAGAAUACUGUAAGAAGUAUUCAUCCGUUCAUCGUUUGUCUUCAACGUUAUACACUUGCUUAAAUUGCAUUGCUUAUUACAGUAGUAGAGUACUGCUUCCUGGUGGUGAAAGUGUUUACUGAUGGAAAUAGUAUUGAUGUUAGAUGAGUAAUAAAGCUGUUCUAAAUUGUAUUGUUGAAUUGACUGAUCUUGCUUAUUAAGUCUGUCAUAUCUUGUUGCUGUGUUUUCCAGUCAGCACUGAUUAGACUGAUUAUAUAAUCAAUCAAUGCAAUGUCAAAACAUGGCUAGAAGGACAUGUUACUGUGUGUUCUGGAUUCUAAAAUACAACUUGAAUUGUACCAUAGCAAAUAUAGUCACCCGUGUUGUUUUCUGUACUAGUUCUCAAUUUAAAAAUGAACCAGACCACCCUGGGUACUCAUGACAUUGACAGUAAAAGAAUGAGGACUCAUGGUCAUUCAAAUUGCAUUUCUAGUUCCUUCUCAGUGUACCACAAGGGGGCAGAGUCAUCCCACCAGAGAGGACUGUCAAACCAA
rnacentral:lncRNA from 1 species